rnacentral:lncRNA from 1 species
UCCAAAUUUUAAGACCAUUUUUUUUCGAGAGAAGACAAAGUGCCUUGUCCCUCUAGUGGCCUCUAAACUGAUCUAGCGACAACUAAUGGUGCAUACCCUUAAUUAAUAUAAUAUUUCUCUCUCUCUUUUAUUUCAGUUUUUAAGAAACUAGGGAUUGGUGUUUCUUCAUGUAGGUCAUUUGGGUUUGGUAUAUGAAUACUAUUGUAUCUCAUGUUUAGAGAGUUUAAUUAUAGUGUGUUUUUCUCCUUAAUAUUUCGUUUAUGUAUGCGUGUUUUUAUUAAUUCUGUACUCAAACUUGUGAGGAUGUAACCAGACAAUGGAAGAACCCUGGUGUUCCUUUAUGUUACUUUUGCUGCAGAAUUCUAUCACACCAUGCCCAUGAUUGCAACUAAGUAGAUCAAUUCACCUAAAACAAAGAAGAUUUGGACAACAAUCAAGUU